UACAGAGGGUGCAAGCGUUGUUCGGAAUUACUGGGCGUAAAGCGCGUGUAGGCUGCGACGUAAGUCAGGUGUGAAAGCCCUCAGCUUAACUGAGGAAGUGCACUUGAUACUGCGUCGCUUGAGUGUCGGAGGGGGUGGCGGAAUUCCCGGUGUAGAGGUGAAAUGCGUAGAUAUCGGGAGGAACACCUGUGGCGAAAGCGGCGCACUGGACCAUAACUGACGCUGAGGCGCGAAAGCUAGGGGAGCAAACAGGG
rnacentral:rRNA from 1 species